CCCUGGGUGGUGAAAAUGAUUAACGCACUCAGCUGCUAACUGAAAGGUGGGAGGUUCGAGUCCACCCACAGGUG
rfam:Loxodonta africana unplaced genomic scaffold scaffold_13, whole genome shotgun sequence.